CCCUUAGAUGUUCUGGGCCGCACGCGUGCUACACUGAGUGGAUCAGCGGGUCAGGUUGCGCGAAAGUGUUUCCUAAUCUUUAAAUCCGCUCGUGAUGGGGAUUGACGGUUGCAAUUUUCCGUCAUGAACAAGGAAUACCUUGUAAGCGCGGGUCAUCAUCCCGCGCUGAAUACGUCCCUGCCCUUUGUACACACCGCCCGUCGCUCCUACCGAUUGAGUGGUCCGGUGAGGCUUUGGGAUCUGGGCGGAAAGAGCGUUUCGCUGUUUCUGCCCGGAAAACUCAGUCGAACCUUAUCAUUUAGAGGAAGGAGAAGUCGUAACA
rnacentral:rRNA from 1 species